rnacentral:tRNA from 1 species
GGGGAUUUAGCUCAGUGGUAGAGCGCUUGCCUAGGAAGCGCAAGCGAUCCCCA